rnacentral:rRNA from 1 species
CGCCAGGGUAUUACGAGCCAGCUUAAAACCCAAAGGACUUGACGGUGUCCCAUCCACNCUAGAGGAGCCUGUUCUAUAAUCGAUAAUCCCCGCUAUACCUAACCACUUUUUGCNUUUUCAGCCUGUAUACCUCCGUCGCAAGCUUACCCUGUGAACGCUNNUCAAGUAAGCUUAAUGAUUCCCCUCAUCAACACGUCAGGUCAAGGUGCAGCCUAUGAAGUGGAAAGCAAUGGGCUACAAUUUCUAAGUUAGAACAAACGAAAGACUACAUGAAACACAGUUAUGAAGGUGGAUUUAGUAGU